GCCCAAAGAGCCCAAGCAGCCCGCGGUUAACUUCUAUGCCAGAACCGUUCCAUAUAGGUUAUGGUUUUUAUAUUAUUAUGCAAUUUAUAUGGUCCUUCGAACCGGAUCCCUUCUUUGUAGCUGUAACUACGACAACCGGCCUCACCAGCUGACGACCGAAACGAACACGUAUAGCCCGUGAUGAAACAGAAACCUGGUGAGAAGAUUCGAGUUCAGGGUAAAAGGGAAUCGUGUGCACACAGGUAACACUGAAAUGCGCGAAAAGAAAACCCCGUGAAAACCAGCGUCGAACCCACCGCGCUCUGAAGAGCUCGCUCUCGGUCAGCUGUCAUCGCAAGCGAGGUAGAACACGCAGGAACAGCAACCGGAACCGAAGCACAAGGUGUUGUGUGUGUUGGUUCUGUUUGAUUCGCGUACAUAAUUCAAAAAAAACACACCAACAGCAACACCAGUAUGCGAAAUUAUUCCACCGGAAUUACAUAACCAUAAACCGGUUGGAUCAGUGAAGCAAACGAGAGAACCUCAGAACCAGGGACGUGAAGACGACACACACUCACACUUGCAGCAGCAAAAGAAGAAGGGUUUCCCCUUUUUUCUCGAUAAAGAAUUGGAUCGCUUGGACCCUCUUCCUUUGGUCUACUUACUGCCCCUUCCUGCGUAUGCUGAGUUUCCUCUGCUUGUCAAGUUCCUGUACUUGAUUCUUAAGACGCGCUUCAAAGUACGUUUCUUACUACUCUCGCUGGUUCGUUCGUUCUUACUUUUCGUGGACGUCCCGGUGUGUUUGCGUCGUCGAGCACUGCUGACAUCUUUCAGGUGCCUCCACAAAAAAAACCCCCCAAAGAGAACCCCGUUCCCCCGUGGCUUGCUGUGAUGGAGAUGAAACAUGAAAACGCAAAACCAAAGCAACCCGUACUCGAAGUCACGUGUGGAGGAAGGGAGGGACAGAGGCCUGCUCGACGAUUUGCUUUGUUGCUGAAAGUUUGGUAGGAAUCUACACAGUUUUUUGUUGGUACUUCGAACCAGGUUCUAUGCCACCAAAACGCACAACUAAACAGCCGUCGAGUGACCGAAAUUUUGGCCGCGCGGCUAUCACAAGCACAGCUGGAUACCUUUCGCUGUACGAGAAUAGGGUCCCGCGAUUUUGUUUGGUUUUUUUUUUUCAUUUGCGGCCCCUCAGUCUCCAAAACCGCGACGACCCACGGCGUGUUCUUUUCGCUGAAAGCAUAAAAUUUAUGCGCAGUUCUGUGCCGCACUGCUCUCUGAUACGUGUGUUUGUGCAUGCGAAGCAGUAAGCAACCAUGCCCAAGAACAGUCAGCAGCAGCAGCAGCAGCAGCACCUUAACCUAGAAGAACCUGAAGUAGCAUUGGAACUGGAUCCAUAAGAGCAUGGUGUGUGUUCAGAUACUCUCGCAGCGUAAGCUGACACUUUAUUUCGCACCGUGAAUGAAUGAUCGAUCGCACGUGAUUGUAGAACGCGCUGCGCUCUGAAAUAAUGACACCGAAGCCGCAGCAGCAACAGCAAUGGCAAAUGUCCUCCAAAUUCUUUCAUUGAGCAAAAGGAAGGAACAAAUGGCCAACUCCAUCAAAAUCAUCUAAAACCCGUUCCCGGUCUUUGGAGCGGCAUUGUGUGACGCACAUUCGGGGACGGAAAUAGAACGCGCUCUACGCCGAAAACACCGGUCUGUAGUAGUAGUAGGUUGAAUUUUCCACGCAGUGGUGGGUGCAAAUGUCACACAAACUGGUCGGUGGAAAUGGAAACCGUUUGCCAGUUGGUUGCCAGAACCGUACCCCGCAGGAGGGUUGAUUUCCGCAUUGAUACACUUCUCGUCGGCACACGCCUACACGGGCGUGGGCUCUUUUCGUUUUUUCAAGUUUUCACUCCUGCUCCUCCUACCUCCUUUUCCUAUAUGAUGUAAAAGGAAUUAAAGGCGACCGUGGUCGGAUCGGAGGCGGCCGGUAAAUCGUGUUAGCGCUAACAUGUGUCCGCACAGCCGGUGUAGCGCAACGUGACGUCGGCGUGGCACGGAAGCACUGACCUGGUCAACCCGGGGCUGUAGGUGUCACCGGUGAGCGCGCGGCAAGAUUAAUACGCUUCUUCGCCCGGUUUACUUACGGGUGUUUCAACUUUUCAUCGGCCUGUCUAGAAACAAUAAGGGUGGUGGUGGUGGGUGUGUGCUGUGUGUUUUAGGUUAGGUUGGUUGUGUGCUGCAGGCUGCAAUGGUUUGUUGUUUGAGAUGGGAUUACGGUAAUAAUUGAUAGGAUUUAUUGGUGCCAGUUGCAGGAAUGCAGCGGGUGACAGUGGAUUCAUCUAGAAAUGCUCAUAAUUGAGACCCGUGAACAGUAACGGUACGAAAUAGCUGUCACCAUAAUUGUGUCGAUGUCGGUGCUUAACACAUUAUUCGGUUUGUUUUAUAUUUUUAUACAUUGUAGCUUUAUUUAUCAUUGUAACUUGUAUGAUGUUUUUCAUCU